GUCUAUGGCUAUGCCACCCUGAAUGUGCCCGAUCUUGUCUGAUCUCGGAAGCCAAGCAGGGUCAGGCCAGGUUAGUACUUGGAUGAGAGACCACAUAGGAAUACCAGGUGCUGUAGGCG
rnacentral:rRNA from 1 species